CAUCCCAGUCCCAAUACACACCUCUAGUCUCAGCCAGAUUUCCUGCAAGAUUCCUAAAAACAAACCUCCUAUUUGUAUUAGUAUCUGUUCAGAACAUAUUAUCUGUUCAUUCCAAAUAAUGUAUUCAUAUCCCUACAUCCCUACUCCUCACACAAAACUUCACCAUAUCAACAAUGCUACACAUGUUUUUUUAAUCAAUUUAAGUGGAGUUUUCAUUAUAUAAGUCUCUGUGUAAAUUGUACGAUAAGAUAUUAAAACGAGCGUCUCUCUGUAAACCUUGCAGCUGGAACAGCUGUCAGAGCCGCUGUUAUAGAAAUGUAACUAACACCUUCUGACCACAGCACCUACUAUUUAAGUGAGAAAGGUGUAUUUUAGAUGAUUGUUCAGCUAUUUAGCAUUUUCGCAGAAUAAAAAUGUUAUGGUCUAAUCAGUUGAUCACAGAGAUUCGUUAGUGUUGUGUUUAUUUCAGACUAAUUUUAAAAAGAAUUGACUGGGCUUUCAAAGAGAAAGAAUGUUAAUGAAUAAAUUAGUAAACCUGAGUCUUCAAGAUCAUGCAGUAGUUGAUCAUGCAUUUUAUGCAAAUCCUCCACUCGUGUCUCUUACAUUAAGGAGGUGAGUGUGUGUGUGUGUGGUGAGGAGGAGGAGAGCAGCUGAGCAGUUUAAUUCACUUCAGUUAAUUAACCAAACAACGAUGUUCUCAUCAGUGCUGCUGCUGCUAACAGCUGCAUUCUGUGGUGUUGGCGGUGUGGAGCUCACUCAGUCAGCCUCUGUGCUCGUGAAACCUGGAGAGUCCUUCUCCAUCUCUUGUAAGAUCUCAGAGUCGAGUUAUUGUAUUCACUGGAUACGACAACCUGCUGGGAAAGCACUGGAAUGGCUCGGAUAUCUGUGUAGCGGUGGUAGCACUAAUCUCAAAGACACAAUGAAGAGCAAGAUCAGUUUCAGCCAGGACACAUCCAGCAGCACAGUUUAUUUAAGAGGACAAAACUUUUAGACUGAGGACACGGCUGUGUAUUACUGCGCCAGAGACACAGCACUACAAAC